rnacentral:tRNA from 1 species
AAGAGGUUAGUUAAAUUAUAACAUUAGUAUGUCAUACUAAAAUUAUUAGAUUUCUAAUACAUCUUU